CUGAAACACAUUCGUCGACCCCACUCUUGCAGUUAGGCUGGUUGUGCAAUCCACCUGGUGAGCACCAGACCCCUGUUAACCAGACACUUUGCUAAGCAGCACACGUCCCUGCAGAGCUGGCUGUCCUAGAGGUCAUCUGUCCAUUGUAUGGGCCACAAUGAAUCCCAGGGUGCUCUGGGAAUACCAACCUCUUGAAUCAAAGAAAAGCUGUCCAGGACCAUUUACCGUUUCAAUGCUUGAACCUUUAAAUGGACAGUGGCUGAUGCUGAAUCAUAGAAUCAUGGAAUGGUUUGGGUUGGAAGGGACCUUAAAGAUCAUCUUGUUCCAAUACCCUGUCUGUGGGCAAGGACAUCUUCCACUAGACCAGAAUGGCCUUCUUUAGAAAUACACACUGGGACUGGAAGGAAGGAAUACAUCAUUCUUUAAAAACAUCCUCAGAGGCAAAACAACUGUCUUUCUGGAUUUAGGCUGUGAGAAAUGGAACCACUUAUUCUAUCUCUUUAACAAUAAAAGUUUUGUUUAAUUCCAUUCUAUUUAUACUGGCGAAACUGAAUAUUGGAUCUUGGUCUGAUUUUCCAUUUUGGUCUUUACAGUGGACUUAUGUGGGUGACAAGGGACUAUAGACAUAAAUUGUGAUCCAGGUACUCCUGUGAAUUUUAGUAUUUCACGCUUGCCCACUUUUUAUCACUGUCUGUGUCAGUUACUGCAGUUGAGGUAAUAAAAUUUUAUGAUUAUCUAUUGAUAUAGCAAAGGUCCAUCUACUUCAACAUGCCAUGUCAGUCACUGGUAGCACCAAAAGAACAUGGCAAGCGUAUAGUGGUAUUUCCAUGGACAGUUUUCUCACUCUCUAGCUGUGUGUUGCUCAGAAGGUUCCUGAGUUAUGAGUAACAGCUUUCUAUUUAUAUUUAACAGCCCUCAGUGGAUUCUUGUGCUAAUGAUCUGUAUGUGGAGUUACUCUUGGCCUGCACCUCCAUGCCAGUCUUUUGGAUGUUGAUACAUCAAGUCCACUUGCACUAGGAAGGGAGCAAGUCGCGGUGGAAGUUUAAGAGAAAAGAAACACUUCUUGUUGACUACCCACAGAAAACUAGGGAAAAUUUAGCCCUUAAAAUUAUUAUUAAAUACACUGUGAUUUGAGCACAUUUCCCAUUAAUUCUCUGCUACCUCUGGAAGUUCAUUUUACUAUUUCAAUGUUAAAAGUGCAUAGUUGAAUUUCAGCAGCUCUCUAUCAAACUAGCUGCAAACAGAAGGAAAAGAUCCCACACAGGACUGAAAACUCAGGACACAAAAAUCAACACCUUUCUUUUUCAAAUCCUUUUGAAUUUUUUCCUAUAAAGGGUUUUUAUUUAAAUGUGACCACAAACAGAACUGAAAUGGGAGACAUAUACAGGUGUGAGAAACAGAAAUGGGUUUUUUUUCCAGACAUAAAUUCCUCUACUUACUCCAGAUAUAGACAAUUCCAUAUUUAUUUUCCUCUGUUGAGAUCUGUCCUUGCAGAUUUUGCUUUAAUCCAAGAAUUAUAGCAUCUAAACCUUCUCACAUGGAAUGCAGGGAGACAAAGCUCUAAUGGCUAUGAGAUCCUUACUGAGCAUUUCUGAUCCCUGCUCAGAUGCAAAUCACUAAAUCACACUAGUGAUAAAUGCUGAUAUUUUAUUUUCAGCCACUGGAAACUCUUGUACUUUUAAUUUGUGCGGUUAGUUUUGUUUUGGUUUGAUUUUUGGUAUUUGGUGGUUUGGUUUUUUGUGGGGGUUUUUGUUGUUUGGGGUUUGUUUUGGUUUUUUUUUUUUUUUGCAUGUUGUAAACAUGCAUUUUGCCUGCUCUGAAUACUAAAGAGUUAAAGAUGCAUAACUCAGCUUUACUCUCUCAUUCAUUCUGGUGAAAAAACCUUUGAAACGUCACAUGAAGGAGAAGCUUGUCAUCCUGCUCUAAAUUCUCUUCUAAGAGCUAAAUGCUGUCACUUACAAACACCAGUCAUCCAGACCACUGUUCAUCCAUUUUGCAAUUAAGCAAUAGCAAUCAGCAAGGUGUUGCUGUCCCAGCCUGAGAGCAGCUAGGGAAGACUAAUCCUGCCUUCCAGCUGCUUCAGGAAAGCCCACCUGCUGCGCUGUACUUCACCCUACCUCAGAGGCACUUCAGGAAGGAAAAUGCUGUAUUGCACUCCGUCUCAAACUCUCUUGCUUCCUCCUGUCCAUCUGUGCUGGGGAUCUGCAGCAAACCUGCAGAGCCCUUUUCCUCGAUGUGCAGCAAACAACCACGUAAAUAGCUGAUAAGGCAGGAAUCCCUUUGUGGCCUAAUCUGUUAAUUAGAAUCAUUAAUUAUAGGGCUACUGAUUAAUUAAUUGGGAGUGAUCUAGCCCAGCAGAAUUCAGUCUCCAACUAAGAUUUUAUGGCAGAGAUUCUGAUGGAUGAAAUCAAAAUAGUCUUUCUCACAAUUCAUAAAGCAUCAAUCCUCUCAAUUUAAUAAAAUACAUGCAAACUGAGAAUAUCACUGCAAAUAUAAAGCGGUGUCUAUAUAAUAAUCUUAAAAAUGUUGUAUUAGAAAGUUUUUCAUGUUAGCUGUUUCACCAACAAUUGUCCUGGGUCAGUUAUACUAAUGCCCGUCACCACUUCUUUAUUAGCUGAUGUGUUUUACUGUAAUUCCCUAAUUUCUAGAGUUCCAUCUUUCUUGUAAGCUAUUCACAAAACACAGCUCCAACUGACACUGGUAUCAGGCUGCUAUUACUUUUAUGAUGUUGCAUUUGCACAGGAAAGAUCUCCAUUUGUUUUUAUUUUCAUCCUACUCCCAGAUUUUAGUUUCAUUUUACUCCUGAAAUGCUUACAAGUCUCUAGGAUUUUUCAAGAACGCAGAGCCUGAAAGCUCAGUGCUAAGAGUCCUAGACAUUGCUCUUGUGUUUACAGAAAGCUUUUCAGCCUUCUCUUGUAUUAGUCAAUGCUUUUCUUAAGCUGCUUGGCCUUGUCCAUACUGAAGCCUUCUUUAACACAUUCAGCCAUCCAACUUUGGGAGUUUUUAAGUGUUAAAAGUUAGGGACUAAUAUUAAUCUCUCCUCUAUGAGAAGGGACAAUGGUUAAUUGAUCUUGACAAAGGUGAUAACAGCUACCUGAAAAACUUAGAUUCAUUCAAGUAAACUCUCUUGUGUGCUUUAAAAGCUAUUUGGAAGAGUGUUUAGUAUUUGAUAUAACCUUAAAGUACAAAAGGACAAUCAUCACUGUGGUCUAUUUUUUAUUUUAACCUGAUCUAACACCAGCCUGGCCUAACUUGGAUGCUGGAUCCUUUUUUGAGCAGCUGUUUGGACUAUAUGAUUUCUGGAAGUCCCUUCUAAUCUUGAUUAUUGCAUUAUACUACCCAUUUUGAUUUUGCAUGAAUACGAUGACAUUAAUUGCAUGAAGCCUAUUUGUGAUGCAGAGUAGUCUGAGCUCAAAGUUGAAGACAGAAGCAAGCAUUAUUGCUACAACAAAAGAUGACUCCUUUUUCUCCACUGACUCUUUUGUUCUGCUAAAAAAUAGGGCCAUUUCUGUUAUCUGUUCACUUUGAAGGUGAUCCCAUGAAUGCAAGUAGAAAAUCUGUGGAAGAAAUGAACACUGACAUGAACAAGGAUGGCAGGGCAAUCUGGCCUGACAGCUUUUUGCAGUUGUAGUUAUUUUUUUGUGGCUAAGUAUGUACAAACCAACUCUGUUUUCUACAUGUGUGGCCAUUUAUAAGUACUUGAUCAAUUUUUUUUCAGAAAAAAUCAGAUUUUAGAUGGUUAGCAAAAGAGUCAUAUUGAAUGCUCACGGUUUGUAGCAUGAGUGGUCAGUCAAAUAAGAGGGGGUAGAUUCUGCUCCCCAGAAGAAUGCAUCUGUAUUUACUCUGUAUUGCUAAUGGUGGAACUUAAGUAUUAACAAGUAACUAAAUAGUUCCAAAAUUAACAUUAUCCUGAUAAUAUGUGUAAAAUCAAAAUGAGUGUGUAACAUUUUCAGAACUAUUUCACAAAUUGACAACAAAUAAAAGCAUUCUUCCAAAUAAUGACCAACUGAUCUCUUUUUUUGCAUUUGUUGAGUAUUUCCUGAUUACUUUUUGAUUUAUUUAACCAGCUCUUUAGGAAUUCUUAAAAACAUUUUCCAGAAAAUAUUGUCAACACUUCUUUGUGCAUUUAGGCUCAGCCCCAUAAGCUCAACAUCUGCAGCUCUUUAGAGUAAAAAUCUUUAAUACCGUUGUCCUCCACAAAGAUACACAGUUUAUGUCAUGACUGCAACGGGUGUCUGUACUUUAAUCUUCUUGUUGGGUUUAUGGUUCACAUAGAAUUAAGUCAUGGGCAAAUAUAAGCAUGUCAGACAAGAACAGUUUAUGAGAAACACAAAACCUUUAAGAGCAUUGCACUCACUUGAG
rnacentral:lncRNA from 13 species